AUUGAACGCUGGCGGCAGGCUUAACACAUGCAAGUCGAACGAUGAUUAUCUAGCUUGCUAGAUAUGAUUAGUGGCGGACGGGUGAGUAACAUUUAGGAAUCUGCCUAGUAGUGGGGGAUAGCUCGGGGAAACUCGAAUUAAUACCGCAUACGACCUACGGGUGAAAGGGGGCGCAAGCUCUUGCUAUUAGAUGAGCCUAAAUCAGAUUAGCUAGUUGGUGGGGUAAAGGCCCACCAAGGCGACGAUCUGUAACUGGUCUGAGAGGAUGAUCAGUCACACCGGAACUGAGACACGGUCCGGACUCCUACGGGAGGCAGCAGUGGGGAAUAUUGGACAAUGGGGGCAACCCUGAUCCAGCCAUGCCGCGUGUGUGAAGAAGGCCUUUUGGUUGUAAAGCACUUUAAGCAGGGAGGAGAGGCUAAUGGUUAAUACCCAUUAGAUUAGACGUUACCUGCAGAAUAAGCACCGGCUAACUCUGUGCCAGCAGCCGCGGUAAUACAGAGGGUGCGAGCGUUAAUCGGAAUUACUGGGCGUAAAGCGAGUGUAGGUGGCUCAUUAAGUCACAUGUGAAAUCCCCGGGCUUAACCUGGGAACUGCAUGUGAUACUGGUGGUGCUAGAAUAUGUGAGAGGGAAGUAGAAUUCCAGGUGUAGCGGUGAAAUGCGUAGAGAUCUGGAGGAAUACCGAUGGCGAAGGCAGCUUCCUGGCAUAAUAUUGACACUGAGAUUCGAAAGCGUGGGUAGCAAACAGGAUUAGAUACCCUGGUAGUCCACGCCGUAAACGAUGUCUACUAGCCGUUGGGGUCCUUGAGACUUUAGUGGCGCAGUUAACGCGAUAAGUAGACCGCCUGGGGAGUACGGCCGCAAGGUUAAAACUCAAAUGAAUUGACGGGGGCCCGCACAAGCGGUGGAGCAUGUGGUUUAAUUCGAUGCAACGCGAAGAACCUUACCUGGUCUUGACAUAGUGAGAAUCCUGCAGAGAUGCGGGAGUGCCUUCGGGAAUUCACAUACAGGUGCUGCAUGGCUGUCGUCAGCUCGUGUCGUGAGAUGUUGGGUUAAGUCCCGCAACGAGCGCAACCCUUUUCCUUAUUUGCCAGUGGGUUAAGCCGGGAACUUUAAGGAUACUGCCAGUGACAAACUGGAGGAAGGCGGGGACGACGUCAAGUCAUCAUGGCCCUUACGACCAGGGCUACACACGUGCUACAAUGGUAGGUACAGAGGGUUGCUACACAGCGAUGUGAUGCUAAUCUCAAAAAGCCUAUCGUAGUCCGGAUUGGAGUCUGCAACUCGACUCCAUGAAGUCGGAAUCGCUAGUAAUCGCAGAUCAGAAUGCUGCGGUGAAUACGUUCCCGGGCCUUGUACACACCGCCCGUCACACCAUGGGAGUCUAUUGCGCCAGAAGUAGGUAGCCUAACGUAAGAGGGCGCUUACCACGGUGUGGUCGAUGACUGGGGUG
rnacentral:rRNA from 1 species